rnacentral:SRP_RNA from 1 species
GCUGGGCGUGGUGGCACACACCUGUAGUUCAAGGCACUCAGAAGGCUGAGAUGGAGGAUCGCUUGAGUCUAGAAGUUCUGGGCUGCAGUGCGCUAUACCAAUCGGGUAUCCGCACUAAGUUCGGCAUGAGGGAGCAGGGGACCAUCAGCUUGGCUAAGGAGGGGUGAACUGGCCCAGGUCAGAAACGGAGCAGGUCACAACUCCCAUGCAGAUCAAAGCUUUGGACUGAGGAAAAGGAUGCAAGCAAUCCCAGCCCAAGCUUAAAAGUAGCAUUAAUCGUUCU